GUAGGGGGCAAGCGUUGUCCGGAUUCAUUGGGCGUAAAGAGCGUGUAKGCGGCCAGGUAGGUCGGUUGUGAAAACUGGAGGCUCAACCUUCAGAGGUCGACCGAAACCAUCUGGCUAGAGUCCGGGAGAGGAGAGUGGAAUUCCUGGUGUAGCGGUGAAAUGCGCAGAUAUCAGGAAGAACACCCGUGGCGAAAGCGGCUCUCUGGAACGGUACUGACGCUGAGACGCGAAAGCGUGAGGAGCGAACAGGAUUAGAUACCCUGGUAGUCCACGCCGUAAACGAUGGGCACUAGGUGUGGGAGGUGUCGACUCCUUCCGUGCCGAAGCUAACGCAUUAAGUGCCCCGCCUGGGGAGUACGGCCGCAAGGCUA
rnacentral:rRNA from 1 species